UUAAUUUAAAUUUGUAAUCUUUUAAACUUUUGUGUUAUUUAUGGAUUAAAUUCAUAACAUCUGACAACCUCUAAAAACUGUUUAUAAUCAAAAAUUUAUAUUUUUUAAUAAAAAAUUGUUCACUAAAAAUUUAUUGAAUUAAAUGAUUUACCUGCAAAACAAAAUAAAUACUAUUAUCAAGGCAAGGAUCGUUAAAUAUUUAGCAGGAAACGUGUCCAUAUAUGAGAUGAUAACAUUGAUCUUGGAGGGGGUCAAAUUUUUGUAAUGGACAAAACUUGAAUAUCUUUUUAUGCCAUUGUAUAAGAUUUUAAUAAUAGGAGUAAGUUUGUGAUAAAAAAAAAAUAAUAGGAGUAAGUUUUAUCCCAAGGAGAGAAACUCUUGUGCGUAUUUUUUUGACAAAUUUAGUGCUCAACACAAAUUCUUUCUUUUUUUGAGUCCAUCUCUCUUGGAAUUAGGGGAGUUGUUGUAAAAAAUGAUUAGAAAUACCUUUAUUUAAAUUCGAUAAAUUUUGAUUGAACUAACCCUUUUCUUUUGGUUCAGUUUGUAAUCUCUUCUCUUUUUUAUCAAUAUCUGAGCCUUAUUCAAAAAAGAAGUUUUAUUAUUUUUAUUAUUGUCACCAAUUUUGUAUCCGAUAACUUUCAUCAUCAUUGUUUAUUAAUUUUCUUUUAACUUUGCAUUUGUAAACAACUUACAACUUUAUGUCACUAUAUUUUUCCUUUUCUUUCCGAGUAUAAUAAAAAUUACUUUUUUUUAAAUAUUUUAUGUGUUAUUAUUAUUAUAAUAUAUUUAUUAUAAGCAAUUAUUUUAAAUAUAUUAGUAACAGCCUUAGCAUGCUAAUUUUCUAAUGUGUUACACGGUGGUCUGGUCUGAAAUUAUCAAAAGAUGAAUUAUAAAGAACAAGCAAUAUUCAUGAUGAAAAUAUGAGUAAUUUAAAAGAAAAUAUAAUGAAAGCAAAUUAUUUGAGAAAUGAAUGAUUAAUUUUACGGAUUUAAUUGACCUAGCAAAUAUAUAAUAUAAAAAAAUAUUAAAAACAAUGCAACAUAUAAAAGACAUGGAUCUCCAUGUAGAGAAUAAGAGAUGAGUUGAUGAAGCAUGAUUCAAGCAUGACACAUCAAAAAUUUAAAAACAUACAAAAUUGUGAUGAUGUGUUAACGAAUAACUUUGUGACUCUCUUUUAAUAGAUUAUAAAUAAAUCUGAAUACUAUAUCUGAUCAAUUACGAACUUAUUUAUUGAUUUUUUAGAUUGGAAAUCCUCUUUUGGACUUUGAUACGGACUAUAACUACACGACUGAAUUUUUUUGGGCUCACGGAGCGAUAUCCGAUUCAACAUAUUGAAAGCUGAAAAAUAUAUGUAGUUAUCCGUCUAUCAAAAGGGAGUAUAUCAAUUCAAAAUAUACUACAACUUGUCAAGAUGUUGAUACCGCCAAUGUAAAUGGGUAUACCAACGAGAAGGAUGUAUAUAGUGACAUUUGCCCAACACCACAAGAAAACGAAGAACACCUACAAGUAUAUAUACAUUUCCUCCUAUAUAGCAAAAAGGAGUGAAAGCUCGUGUAUGUAUGAGAGAUGCAACUAAUAUAUACUUGAAUAAAAAAUAAAGCAAAAAGUGGUUAAAAAGUGUA